UUUUUUAUGUCUGAUGUGAAAGCUUUCGGCUUAACGGGAGAAGUGCAUCGGAAACUGGGAGACUUGAGUGCAGAAGAGGACAGUGGAACUCCAUGUGUAGCGGUGGAGUGCGUAGAUAUAUGGAAGANCACCAGUGGCGAAGGCGGCUGUCUAGUCUGUAACUGACGCUGAGGCUCGAAAGCAUGGGUAGCGAACAGGAUUAGAUACCUUGGUAGUCCAUGCCGUAAACGAUGAGUGCUAAGUGUUGGAGGGUUUCCGCCCNUCAGUGCUGCAGCUAACGCAUUAAGCACUCCGCCUGGGGAGUACGACCGCAAGGUUGAAACUCAAAGGAAUUGACGGGGGCCCGCACAAGCGGUGGAGCAUGUGGUUUAAUUGGAAGCUACGCGAAGAACCUUACCAGGUCUUGACAUCUUCUGCCAAUCUUAGAGAUAAGACGUUCCCUUCGGGGACAGAAUGACAGGUGGUGCAUGGUUGUCGUCAGCUCGUGUCGUGAGAUGUUGGGUUAAGUCCCGCAACGAGCGCAACCCUUAUUAUCAGUUGCCAGCAUUCAGUUGGGCACUCUGGUGAGACUGCCGGUGACAAACCGGAGGAAGGUGGGGAUGACGUCAAAUCAUCAUGCCCCUUAUGACCUGGGCUACACACGUGCUACAAUGGACGGUACAACGAGUCGCGAAGUCGUGAGGCUAAGCUAAUCUCUUAAAGCCGUUCUCAGUUCGGAUUGUAGGCUGCAACUCGCCUACAUGAAGUUGGAA
rnacentral:rRNA from 1 species